UACGGAGGGUGCAAGCGUUAUCCGGAUUUACUGGGUUUAAAGGGAGCGCAGGCGGAUUGGUAAGUCAAUGGUGAAAUACCCGUGCUUAACAUGGGAACUGCCAUUGAUACUAUCAGUCUUGAAUAUCGUUGAGGUUUGCGGAAUGGGUCAUGUAGCGGUGAAAUGCAUAGAUAUGACCCGGAACACCUAUUGCGAAGGCAGCAGGCUAAACGAAGAUUGACGCUGAGGCUCGAAAGCGUGGGGAUCAAACAGG
rnacentral:rRNA from 1 species